GCUCCGUGCACCACUGACUUUCAGAGCGGAAGAGCCACAAAAGGAUAAUUGAGGGGCAUGAUUUGAUGGUCUCUGCCUUUACCCACCUUUCAUCUAGCAUGUUUAUGUUGUUCUUUGUGGGAGUCUGGAGACUGAAGGUGUACUUUGAAGUUUAAAUCGAACUUCCUGUUUUAUCUUAGUAGCCCAUUUAUUCCUAGUUUUUGCUCAUUUUAUUUGUCCAGUGCCGUCUCCACCCUGCUUUGCUUUCGUGGGCCUUACUCCAUUCCUUUAUGCUAACUGGGAAUAUUAGCCACUCCGCACUGCUCUGGUUUCAUUUGGAGAUGCUACACAGUGCUAUUCAGGGCUCACUAUGUUAGUCUUUGGGAAUGAUGUAUUUUGGCGGUUACCCAUCUCCAUUCUUUCCAGUCACCCCAUGUGACCAGUUUAUACCCCAGGUGUAUCACCAGUCACACAUGUGUAUCAAGUAGUGAAGUGCAUUUUCCAUUUGUCUGACUUAACAAUAAAUCUCGAAUCUUUCUCCCCCUCCCGU